rnacentral:rRNA from 1 species
AGACGGGGGGGGCGAGCGUUGUUCGGAAUUACUGGGCGUAAAGGGCGCGCAGGCGGCCUGGGAAGUCUGGGGUGAAAGCCCCCAGCUCAACUGGGGAAUGGCCUGAGAAACCACUAGGCUCGAGUGCUGGAGAGGGAAGCGGAAUUCCCGGUGGAGCGGUGAAAUGCGUAGAUAUCGGGAGGAACACCAGAGGCGAAGGCGGCUUCCUGGACAGACACUGACGCUGAGGCGCGAAAGCUAGGGGAGCAAACGGGAUUAGAAACCCCGGUAGUCC